GAACGAGAAAGGGGCUUCGGCCCUGAGUAAAGUGGCGCACGGGUGAGUAACACGUGACUAACCUACCCUUGAGCGGGGGAUAACCUAGGGAAACCUGGGCUAAUACCGCAUAACACCUACGGGUCAAGGCGAGCAAUCGCACUUAAGGAGGGGGUCGCGGCAGAUUAGUUAGUUGGCAGGGUAAUGGCCUACCAAGACGAUGAUCUGUAUCCGGCCUGAGAGGGCGCACGGACACACUGGAACUGAAACACGGUCCAGACUCCUACGGGAGGCAGCAGUGGGGAAUUUUGCGCAAUGGGGGAAACCCUGACGCAGCAACGCCGCGUGGAGGAUGAAAUAUCUUGGUAUGUAAACUCCUUUCGAUGGGGACGAUAAUGACGGUACCCAUAGAAGAAGCCCCGGCUAACUUCGUGC
rnacentral:rRNA from 1 species